UCCCUGGUGGUCCAGUGGUUAGGACUCUACACUUCCUACGCAGGGGGUGCAGAUUCAAUCCCUGAUCAGGGAA
rnacentral:tRNA from 1 species